CUGGGGAGGUGUUUGCUGGAUAAACAGCUGCCCCCCGGGGCCCAGGCCGCAGUGCUCCUUCGCCACCGUGUCUCCAGCAUCACCCCUUCUCCUCUGAGACCUCUUCCCAGGCCACAACACCAGGGGCCCUGAAGGAGGCCGCUGGCAAGGAAACAUGGACCCGGCUCCAGCCCAGCUACUGGAAGACCUUUCUGGAAUCGGGAGAAGACGCACCUCGGACUUGGGAGCUGAUCCUUCUUUCAAUUCCUGAUUCUGCCACCUCUUGCUAAGGAUUUCAGGCUAGUUACUUAACUUCUCUUAAACCAGCAUUAUCAAUCUGUAUAAUGUGGUAGUGAUACCACAUUGCAGGGUUGAUGGGAGGGUUAAAUUAGACGUUUAAAGUUUUAAA